AACGAACGCUGGCGGCGUGGAUAAGACAUGCAAGUCGAACGGGACAGACCGAGUAGCAAUAUUUGGAAUGUUCAGUGGCGAACGGGUGCGUAACACGUGGAUAACAUUCCGGAAAGCGGGGAAUAGCCCAGGGACACUUGGAUUAAUACCUCAUGUGGCCGCAAGGCUAAAGACGGGGACCGCAAGGCCUGUCACUUUCCGAUUGGUCCGCGGCCUAUCAGCCAGGUGGCGGGGUAAUGGCCCACCAAGGCUACGACGGGUAGCUGGUCUCAGAGGACGACCAGCCACACUGGAACUGAGACACGGUCCAGACACCUACGGGUGGCAGCAGUCGAGAAUCUUUCACAAUGGGGGCAACCCUGAUGGAGCGACGCCGCGUGGAGGAUAAGGUCUUCGGAUUGUAAACUCCUGUCAUGCGAGAACAAGGUACUCAGGCUAAUAACCUGAUUGUUUGAUGGUACCGCAAGAGGAAGAGACGGCUAACUCUGUGCCAGCCGCCGCCGUAACAC
rnacentral:rRNA from 1 species